rnacentral:miRNA from 1 species
GUAGAUUCACAUCUCCUUCAAAGAUAUUUCAAUGUUUCAUUAGGAGUUUCUUUAAAAAUGAAACAUUGGAAUAUCUUUGAAGGAGAUGUGAAUCUA